CGACUCUCGGCAACGGAUAUCUCGGCUCUCGCAUCGAUGAAGAACGUAGCGAAAUGCGAUACUUGGUGUGAAUUGCAGAAUCCCGUGAACCAUCGAGUCUUUGAAYGCAAGUUGCGCCUGAAGCCGUCAGGCCGAGGGCACGCCUGCCUGGGCGUCACG
rnacentral:rRNA from 1 species